rnacentral:rRNA from 1 species
CGUGGGUAACCUGCCCAAGAGAUCGGGAUAACACCUGGAAACAGAUGCUAAUACCGGAUAACAACAGAUGAUGCCUAUCAACUGUUUAAAAGAUGGUUCUGCUAUCACUCUUGGAUGGACCUGCGGUGCAUUAGCUAGUUGGUAGGGUAACGGCCUACCAAGGCGAUGAUGCAUAGCCGAGUUGAGAGACUGAUCGGCCACAUUGGGACUGAGACACGGCCCAAACUCCUACGGGAGGCGCAGAA